GGAAACGGGUUAAUAUUCCCGUACUUGGUGUUACUGCGAAGGGGGGACGGAGAAGGCUAUGUUGGCCGGGCGACGGUUGUCCCGGUUUAAGCGUGUAGGUGUGUGUUCCAGGUAAAUCCGGUUCACUUUAACACUGAGGCGUGAUGACGAGGCACUACGGUGCUGAAGCAACAAAUGCCCUGCUUCCAGGAAAAGCCUCUAAGCAUCAGGUAACAUCAAAUCGUACCCCAAACCGACACAGGUGGUCAGGUAGAGAAUACCAAGGCGCUUGAGAGAACUCGGGUGAAGGAACUAGGCAAAAUGGUGCCGUAACUUCGGGAGAAGGCACGCUGACAC
rnacentral:rRNA from 2 species